rnacentral:rRNA from 1 species
GACGAACGCUGGCGGCGUGCCUAAUACAUGCAAGUAGGACGCAGUUGCGAGCGGGUGAGUAACGCGUAGGUAACUACCUAUUAGAGGGGGAUAAAUAUUGGAACCGAUAGCUAAUACCGCAUACUACUAGAUGGACCUGCGUUGUAUUAGCUUGUAGGUAGGGUAAUGGCCUAACAAGGCAACGUUACAUAGCCGACCUGAGAGGGUGAUCGGCGAAACUGGGACUGAGACACGGCCCAGACUCCUACGGGAGGCAGCAGUAGGGAAUCUUCGGCAAUGGGGGGAACGCUGACCGAGCAACGCCGCGUGAGUGAAGAAGGUUUUCGGGUCGGAAAGCUCUGUUGUUAAGGAAGCGGUACUUGACCAGAAAGGGACGGCUAACUACGUGCCAGCAGCCGCGGUAAUAC